AUGGGGUUGUUUUCACAUAGCUCAUUGGCAUCAUUUGUAUGUUGAAGGCCAACCAUUCCAACGUAAUCGAUCAGUUAAAAAGAUCCCAGGAUACCUCAUGCAAAACACACAGGAAGCACCUCACAAAGCAAAACACGUAUAUUGAACCAAAACAAGCACAAUCAAACAAUCUGCCAAUGAAGGGUUCCAUGGAGACGAGCAAUAAUCUUCAAGCCUCCGAAAGAACACCAUCCCAUAUAAGUCACACUAAAUGUUGCAAAAAGAAUAGCAUGAACCGAUAGGACCACCAUGCAAGCACGGGACCUCAAGCAAAAUCACAAAAGCCAUUUUUACAGUCCAUCCCAAAGGGAGAGGGAGGAACUCCACACAUCUAACAAGAGGAAUCUUUUAUCCAAGCUCAACUGGCUAGCAAAAAGUGUCAAGAACCUUAGACCCUAUAGAGAAUGAGAGAGAACUGUAGAGAGAACUGUAGAGAGAGAAUUUAAAACUACAAACUCACCAUUCCCAUGGAAAAUGGACAUUGAUGAGUGUGAGUUCAAAGGACAAAGUGGUUAUUGGAAAAAGAAAAAUUCAUUAUUUUCUUAUGUAAAGACAUGGUCCACCAGCCAAUACUGAAAUGUUUUUUUCUUCUCCUUUCACCAAAUGUCUCAUUUCUUCUUUUUAUGAUCCAUAUAAAUAUCUUGAAGUUGAUGCUUAUCCUUCUAAUAAUGUAUUCUUCAAUAUUUGAAUUUAAAUUCUUUAUUUAGAAAUACAAGACAGAAGACAUAGCACUAAAUAGAGAGCCUAAUAUGUGAAAUAGGUCCAUAAAAAUGUUGCGCUCAAUGUAUCAGAGAUUUCAGCGUCUGACCAAUUAAAUAAAUAAAGAAAACAAUUUAGAAUGAAAGAACUUGCAUUAAUAUCUCAAUUCAAUUUAAACAUGAAUUUGAUUUAUAUUCUAUAUUUUGAGAUAUUUACCAUAUGAAAAAAAGAAAAAAAAUGGAGUGUUUAUCUGAAGAAAUGCAUUGAAGAAAGUUUUUUUUUAUUCGUUGAACAAUUACUUUUGUGUUGACGGCUAGAAUUAAAAUACAUUUAUAUUUUAUUAAUAUUAAAAUUAAUUUUAAAUUAUAAAAAGUUCAUUAAUAUUUAAUGAAAAUUAAAGCGGCUUGAUGACUCCGCGUUCCAAAUCACUGGGCCUAUUGCAGCCUAAACAGAAAGCGCUAGGCCGGCCUGAUACUGGCCCAAUACGCAAUGAAAGGAUAAGCCCUAUGUCAGUUCAGGCCCGUCCCAGUGAGGUGGGUAAGACUUGGAUGGGCUCAAGGCAAUUCGAUCCAAAUUACUACCAACCUCCACAUAAAAACAAAGCCCGCAAUGGAUCGUGUCCAAAUGACGUUGGAGGGAAUUAAAUAACCGUCUGACGAGGCUGAGGACAGGGUACGCACGUACAGGCUGCCCACUUGAGUAUGAUAGAUAGGUACGAGUGUAGGAUAUUAGUAUUUUUCUAAAUGGCCUGGGACAUAAGUUAUUCCCAACAUUACAGCUAGGAAGAUGAUAGAUUUGUAUGGGGUGAUGUCACCUGUUGUUUCGAAAUACCGAGAAUACUUAUUUCAGAUAAUGAAAAGCAGUUUGAUUGUAACACCUUCAGAGAUUUCACCAGAAACACAAGGAUAUGGCAUAAGUUCUUUUCAGUGGCCUAUACACAGACAAACGGUCAAACUGAAGUGAUGAACAUGGCUAUCCUUCAAGGCUUGAAGAAGUAGUUAGAUGGGGCUAAGAAGAAUUGAGCAUUCAAACUAUCCAGCAUCAUGUGGGCAUUUUGGACCAUACCCUGAACACCUACUGGAGAGACUAUUUGUGCUGGCGUUUGGAACAGAAGUCGUAGUGCCCGUAGAGCUGCAAAUCCUAACAUAUUGAGUAUAGUUUAACGACGAAUACCUCAACGGUAAGAAGCUGAGAAGUAAUUGAACGCCCUUGAGGAAAUUAGAGAUGAAGCACAAGUACGAACGUCAGCAUAUCAACAAAGAGCAGUCAGAUAUUACAACCAAAAGUUUUGUGAAAGAAAUCUAAAUGUUGAGGACUUGGUACUAAGAAGGCUAAAAGCCACUAGGAAAAGAGCUAUUGUGGGCAAACUGGUGCCGACCUGGAAGGGUCCAUCCAGAGUCACUAAGGACAUUAGGCCAGGGGUACACAUAAUCGAGGAUCAGCAAGAAAAUCCAGAACCUCAUGCUUGGAACAUCCAACAUUUGAAGAGAUAUUUCCAAUAAAAAAUAUAAUGUAAUUGUGGCAUUAAAGAAAUGAAAUUCCUCUUCUGAGUUCAUUUUUUAUUUUAAAGUUUUAGAAUCUAACUACUGUAACACCCCCUACCCGGUCAUUUAAUUAACCGAGUUGGAGAUAUCACAUUUACACUGUAUCUCCCUUUUCUUAUUUUUUUAAUUUCUAUUUAUUUAUUUUUUUUUAUCUAAUCUAAUAUCUCUUUUUUUUUUUAGUCUAUUAAUGUUUUUUAUUGGCACUAUAUCUAACCAAAUUAUAUUUCUAUCAAAGAAAAUAGAGUCAUUUCAUGAGAUCUAUAACUUAAAUUUUGGUUAAAUUACAUAUUAAUUUUAAACUUUUCUAUCUAUUAAAUCUAUUAUUUCUCAAACUUUGAUUAUACAAAUAUAAUUAAACUAUUAUUCACUUGAUCUAUUUCUACUAGGGUAGUAAAAUUUUCAAAUAGAACAUAAUUAACAAAUUCUUAAAUGUAUUCAAACAGAGUUGAGCACAAACCUUAACUUUCCAAAAUCUUUCACAAGCUUUAGUUCUCUACUCUUCCUUUUCUUUCCCUUUGGAACUUCCACUCUUCCUUUCCACUUCUUCUUUAAAAAAAAUAAGCAAAUAAAUCAUAUUAAUACAAUAUUACUCAUACAUAUUCACAUAAAAAUGAUAAUAAACAUUCCUAUAUCAAAACUCCUAACAUACCUUUAAAUUUUCCAACCCUUGGUUACUGUAAUUCACUCUCCCUCAACCUUGAAUUUUCUCUUUGAUUUUCUCUUCUUUUCUUCAAACUCUACUUUGGAAAGGUGUUGGGAGAAGAUGGGUAAUUUAUUGGAGGUGAAAUUUUGAAGCAAUUUAGUGUAGAAGAGAAAAGAUGGAGAAGUGGGGUUUAUGCAUGUUCACGGGAAGGAGAAGAAAAUGAAUGGGAAAUAUGAAUUCCC
rnacentral:lncRNA from 1 species